rnacentral:rRNA from 1 species
AUUGAACGCUGGCGGCAUGCUUUACACAUGCAAGUCGAACGGUAACAGGCCGCAAGGUGCUGACGAGUGGCGAACGGGUGAGUAAUGCAUCGGAACGUGCCCAGUCGUGGGGGAUAACGCAGCGAAAGCUGCGCUAAUACCGCAUACGAUCUAUGGAUGAAAGCGGGGGACCGUAAGGCCUCGCGCGAUUGGAGCGGCCGAUGUCAGAUAUGGUCGUUGGUGGGGUAAAGGCACACCAAGCCAACGAUCUGUAGCCGGUCUGAGAGGACGACCAGCCACACUGGGACUGAGACACGGCCCAGACUCCUACGGGAGGCAGCAGUGGGGAAUUUUGGACAAUGGGCGCAAGCCUGAUCCAGCAAUGCCGCGUGCAGGAAGAAGGCCUUCGGGUUGUAAACUGCUUUUGUACGGAACGAAACGGUCUUGGUUAAUACCUGGGGCUAAUGACGGUACCGUAAGAAUAAGCACCGGCUAACUACGUGCCAGCCGCCGCGGUAAUAC